rnacentral:rRNA from 1 species
UAGGGAAUCUUCCACAAUGGACGCAAGUCUGAUGGAGCAACGGCCGCGUGAGUGAAGAAGGUUUUCGGACCGUAAAGCUCUGUUGUUGGUGAAGAAGGAUAGAGGUAGUAACUGGCCUUUAUUUGACGGUAAUCAACCAGAAAGUCACGGCUAACUACGUGCCAGCAGCCGCGGUAAUACGUAGGUGGCAAGCGUUGUCCGGAUUUAUUGGGCGUAAAGCGAGCGCAGGCGGAAGAAUAAGUCUGAUGUGAAAGCCCUCGGCUUAACCGAGGAAUUGCAUCGGAAACUGUUUUCUUGAGUGCAGAAGAGGAGAGUAGAACUCCAUGUGUAGCGGUGGAAUGCGUAGAUAUAUGGAAGAAUCACCAGUGGCGAAGGCGGCUGUCUGGUCUGCAACUGACGCUGAGGCUCGAAAGCAUGGGUAGCGAACAGGAUUAGAUACCCUGGUAGUCCAUGCCGUAAACGAUGAGUGCUAAGUGUU